GGUGCGUCUUGUUGAAAUUUCAUGAUGGUUUCUUGCAUGGACACACUGGCAAUGCAUUUGAUGCAGUCGCAAUGUUUUGCUGGUUUGUUUUUGUGUAAAGGCAAUCUAUAUUGUCUGCUUUGAGGAGUUUCAUGCUUCUUAGGGUUCCCUUGUUCCAUUUGAUUGGUUUGGGUUCUUUGGGAAAAUAAUGUCCUUGGUGAUGUUUUGCUUGAGUAUGCUUAUCUCUUAAACCUCUCUGGCUGUCUUUCUCCUCCCUUUUGUGUGUAUUCUUUUUGCAUUUGAUGUACUUUUGUGUGUAAAAAAAAGUGUUUGCAAAUUCUAUAGUUGUUACAGCGUUAGUUUUGAGGCGGGGUUGUUGCUACUAUAGUGAGUGAUUGCAUGCUUGAACUGGAGGUAGAAACCUGCCUGUUAUUAGAAGGAAUUUGUAUAAUGGCCCUGGUGGAGUUAUUUUUAUGUUGAAGGUGUUUUUUAUGGUGGUUUUGGCAUUUUUUCUGUAACAAAUCCAAAUAUCUGCCUUUACCUAUAGAACUUUAAGUUGAUUCUAUUCUUUAAAUUCGUGGAAAUUUUAAAUUUAAACCAAUUUGGGGAAUUUCUGGUGCACUUAUUCAGUUAACUUUAAUUUGGGAUUUUGUUGUUAUCAUCAUCUGUGCUCAUUCAAUUACCUUUAUUCUUUUUAUAUUGUCUUUCACCAGGUGAUCGUGUGAAGUAUAUAGG
rnacentral:misc_RNA from 1 species